rnacentral:rRNA from 1 species
UUAAGCGACUAAGCGUACACGGUGGAUGCCCUGGCAGUCAGAGGCGAUGAAGGACGUGCUAAUCUGCGAUAAGCGUCGGUGAGGUGAUAUGAACCGUUAUAACCGGCGAUUUCCGAAUGGGGAAACCCAGUGUGUUUCGACACACUAUCAUUAACUGAAUCCAUAGGUUAAUGAGGCGAACCGGGGGAACUGAAACAUCUAAGUACCCCGAGGAAAAGAAAUCAACCGAGAUUCCCCCAGUAGCGGCGAGCGAACGGGGAGGAGCCCAGAGCCUGAAUCAGUGUGUGUGUUAGUGGAAGCGUCUGGAAAGGCGCGCGAUACAGGGUGACAGCCCCGUACACAAAAAUGCACAUAUUGUGAGCUCGAUGAGUAGGGCGGGACACGUGGUAUCCUGUCUGAAUAUGGGGGGACCAUCCUCCAAGGCUAAAUACUCCUGACUGACCGAUAGUGAACCAGUACCGUGAGGGAAAGGCGAAAAGAACCCCGGCGAGGGGAGUGAAAAAGAACCUGAAACCGUGUACGUACAAGCAGUGGGAGCCUCUUAAUGGGGUGACUGCGUACCUUUUGUAUAAUGGGUCAGCGACUUAUAUUCUGUAGCAAGGUUAACCGAAUAGGGGAGCCGAAGGGAAACCGAGUCUUAACUGGGCGUUAAGUUGCAGGGUAUAGACCCGAAACCCGGUGAUCUAGCCAUGGGCAGGUUGAAGGUUGGGUAACACUAACUGGAGGACCGAACCGACUAAUGUUGAAAAAUUAGCGGAUGACUUGUGGCUGGGGGUGAAAGGCCAAUCAAACCGGGAGAUAGCUGGUUCUCCCCGAAAGCUAUUUAGGUAGCGCCUCGUGAAUUCAUCUCCGGGGGUAGAGCACUGUUUCGGCAAGGGGGUCAUCCCGACUUACCAACCCGAUGCAAACUGCGAAUACCGGAGAAUGUUAUCACGGGAGACACACGGCGGGUGCUAACGUCCGUCGUGAAGAGGGAAACAACCCAGACCGCCAGCUAAGGUCCCAAAGUCAUGGUUAAGUGGGAAACGAUGUGGGAAGGCCCAGACAGCCAGGAUGUUGGCUUAGAAGCAGCCAUCAUUUAAAGAAAGCGUAAUAGCUCACUGGUCGAGUCGGCCUGCGCGGAAGAUGUAACGGGGCUAAACCAUGCACCGAAGCUGCGGCAGCGACACUAUGUGUUGUUGGGUAGGGGAGCGUUCUGUAAGCCUGUGAAGGUGGCCUGUGAGGGUUGCUGGAGGUAUCAGAAGUGCGAAUGCUGACAUAAGUAACGAUAAAGCGGGUGAAAAGCCCGCUCGCCGGAAGACCAAGGGUUCCUGUCCAACGUUAAUCGGGGCAGGGUGAGUCGACCCCUAAGGCGAGGCCGAAAGGCGUAGUCGAUGGGAAACAGGUUAAUAUUCCUGUACUUGGUGUUACUGCGAAGGGGGGACGGAGAAGGCUAUGUUGGCCGGGCGACGGUUGUCCCGGUUUAAGCGUGUAGGCUGGUUUUCCAGGCAAAUCCGGAAAACCAAGGCUGAGGCGUGAUGACGAAGCACUACGGUGCUGAAGCGACAAAUGCCCUGCUUCCAGGAAAAGCCUCUAAGCAUCAGGUAACAUCAAAUCGUACCCCAAACCGACACAGGUGGUCAGGUAGAGAAUACCAAGGCGCUUGAGAGAACUCGGGUGAAGGAACUAGGCAAAAUGGUGCCGUAACUUCGGGAGAAGGCACGCUGAUAUGUAGGUGAAGCGACUUGCUCGUGGAGCUGAAAUCAGUCGAAGAUACCAGCUGGCUGCAACUGUUUAUUAAAAACACAGCACUGUGCAAACACGAAAGUGGACGUAUACGGUGUGACGCCUGCCCGGUGCCGGAAGGUUAAUUGAUGGGGUUAGCGGCAACGCGAAGCUCUUGAUCGAAGCCCCGGUAAACGGCGGCCGUAACUAUAACGGUCCUAAGGUAGCGAAAUUCCUUGUCGGGUAAGUUCCGACCUGCACGAAUGGCGUAAUGAUGGCCAGGCUGUCUCCACCCGAGACUCAGUGAAAUUGAACUCGCUGUGAAGAUGCAGUGUACCCGCGGCAAGACGGAAAGACCCCGUGAACCUUUACUAUAGCUUGACACUGAACAUUGAGCCUUGAUGUGUAGGAUAGGUGGGAGGCUUUGAAGUGUGGACGCCAGUCUGCAUGGAGCCGACCUUGAAAUACCACCCUUUAAUGUUUGAUGUUCUAACGUGGGCCCCUAAUCGGGGUUGCGGACAGUGUCUGGUGGGUAGUUUGACUGGGGCGGUCUCCUCCUAAAGAGUAACGGAGGAGCACGAAGGUUGGCUAAUCCUGGUCGGACAUCAGGAGGUUAGUGCAAUGGCAUAAGCCAGCUUGACUGCGAGCGUGACGGCGCGAGCAGGUGCGAAAGCAGGUCAUAGUGAUCCGGUGGUUCUGAAUGGAAGGGCCAUCGCUCAACGGAUAAAAGGUACUCCGGGGAUAACAGGCUGAUACCGCCCAAGAGUUCAUAUCGACGGCGGUGUUUGGCACCUCGAUGUCGGCUCAUCACAUCCUGGGGCUGAAGUAGGUCCCAAGGGUAUGGCUGUUCGCCAUUUAAAGUGGUACGCGAGCUGGGUUUAGAACGUCGUGAGACAGUUCGGUCCCUAUCUGCCGUGGGCGCUGGAGAACUGAGGGGGGCUGCUCCUAGUACGAGAGGACCGGAGUGGACGCAUCACUGGUGUUCGGGUUGUCAUGCCAAUGGCACUGCCCGGUAGCUAAAUGCGGAAGAGAUAAGUGCUGAAAGCAUCUAAGCACGAAACUUGCCCCGAGAUGAGUUCUCCCUGAGACUUAGAGUCUCCUGAAGGAACGUUGAAGACGACGACGUUGAUAGGCCGGGUGUGUAAGCGCAGCGAUGCGUUGAGCUAACCGGUACUAAUGAACCGUGAGGCUUAACCUU